AUCACACAAAAACACCACUUUAAAUCUUGCGUUUACCAGAGAUGUGCUCAUAAGUUCCUUAGAAAUAAGUCAUUCAGCAUGAAAAAAAGCAUAAAAAGUGAUUAAUCGACACUAAAGAAAUCUUUGUCGAGUGAGACCAAAACGAUCGAUUAGUCGACUAAUCGACUGAGAGGGGGCAGCCCUACUACUUUGGCGUUCAAAC